rnacentral:rRNA from 1 species
UACGUAGGGGGCAAGCGUUGUCCGGAUUUAUUGGGCGUAAAGAGCGUGUAGGCGGCCAAGCAGGUCCGCUGUGAAAACUCGAGGCUCAACCUCGAGACGUCGGUGGAAACCGUAUGGCUAGAGUCCGGAAGAGGAGAGUGGAAUUCCCGGUGUAGCGGUGAAAUGCGCAGAUAUCGGGAAGAACACCCGUGGCGAAGGCGGCUCUCUGGGACGGUACUGACGCUGAGACGCGAAAGCGUGGGGAGCGAACAGG